rnacentral:rRNA from 1 species
UACAGAGGGUGCGAGCGUUAAUCGGAGUUACUGGGCGUAAAGGGCGCGCAGGCGGCCGCCCGCGUGUGUGGUGAAAGCUCCUGGCUUAACUAGGAGAGGUCCAUGCAGACGGGGCGGCUUGAGCGUCGGAGAGGGGCAUGGAAUUCCGGGUGGAGUGGUGAAAUGCGUAGAGAUCCGGAGGAACACCAGAGGCGAAGGCGGCCUACUGGGCCAGUACUGACGCUGAGCCGCGAAAGCGUGGGGAGCAAACAGG